rnacentral:rRNA from 1 species
CCCUUAGAUGUUCUGGGCUGCACGCGCGCUACACUGAUGCACUCAACGAGUUUACGACCUUGCCCGAUAGGGUUGGGUAAUCUUUUUAAAAUGCAUCGUGAUGGGGAUAGAUUAUUGCAAUUAUUAAUCUUCAACGAGGAAUUCCUAGUAAGCGCGAGUCAUCAGCUCGUGCUGAUUACGUCCCUGCCCUUUGUACACACCGCCCGUCGCUCCUACCGAUUGAGUGGUCCGGUGAGGCUUUGGGAUCUGAGCAAAGAGAGCGUUUCGCUCGUUUUGCCCGGAAAACUCAGUCGAACCUUAUCAUUUAGAGGAAGGAGAAGUCGUAACA